rnacentral:ribozyme from 1 species
UGCCAAGCAUCUCCUAUCCCUAUCUCCUCGUGGUACUGGCCGGGGUACGAGUAACCUCAAGGAAGAUCGUGCAACCAACCCCGGUGGGAACUUUGGUCGUAUGCUGACAGGGAAGA